rnacentral:lncRNA from 1 species
UUUAAACAAAAAUUUAUACACAUUCUCCUUGAAAAUACAGAUGGAUACCUAUAGCUUUGGGAGUGCCUAUUAGUAAGGUACCUGAAAAAAGAACCCGCAAAAAAAGGUACCUGAAAAAAAAUGUUGCAUUAGUCAUUUUGAACCGUCAGAUCUUCAUCCAAAAACCCUAAAUAGAUCAACACUAUUCAUCUUCUUCCUCCUUUCGUCAUCC